CAACUCGAGUGCAUGAAGCUGGAAUCGCUAGUAAUCGCGAAUCAGAAUGUCGCGGUGAAUACGUUCCCGGGUCUUGUACACACCGCCCGUCACACCAUGGGAGCCGACAACGCCCGAAGUCAGUGACCUAACCGAGAGGGAGGAGCUGCCGAAGGCGGGGUUGGUAACUGGGGUGAAGUCGUAACAAGGUAAC
rnacentral:rRNA from 1 species